AGUAUCAUGGCCGAGUGGUUAAGGCGGCAGACUUAAGAUCUGCUGGACGUGAGUCCGCGUGGGUUCAAACCCCACUGAUACUA